rnacentral:rRNA from 2 species
CCUACGGGCGGCUGCAGUGAGGAAUAUUGGUCAAUGGGCGAGAGCCUGAACCAGCCAAGUAGCGUGAAGGAUGACUGCCCUAUGGGUUGUAAACUUCUUUUAUAAAGGAAUAAAGUCGGGUAUGGAUACCCGUUUGCAUGUACUUUAUGAAUAAGGAUCGGCUAACUCCGUGCCAGCAGCCGCGGUAAUACGGAGGAUUCAAGCGUUAUCCGGAUUUAUUGGGUUUAAAGGGUGCGUAGGCGGUUUGAUAAGUUAGAGGUGAAAUUUCGGGGCUCAACCCUGAACGUGCCUCUAAUACUGUUGAGCUAGAGAGUAGUUGCGGUAGGCGGAAUGUAUGGUGUAGCGGUGAAAUGCUUAGAGAUCAUACAGAACACCGAUUGCGAAGGCAGCUUACCAAACUAUAUCUGACGUUGAGGCACGAAAGCGUGGGGAGCAAACAGGAUUAGAUACCCUUGUAGUC